AAACCAACAGGGAUUGCCUUAGUAACGGCGAGUGAAGCGGCAAAAGCUCAAAUUUGAAAUCUGGCGUCUUUGGCGUCCGAGUUGUAAUUUGAAGAAGGUAUCUUUGAGGUUGGCCCUUGCAUAAGUUCCUUGGAACAGGACGUCAUAGAGGGUGAGAAUCCCGUUUAUGGUGAGGUGCCCAACUUCUUGUAAAGUGCUUUCGAAGAGUCGAGUUGUUUGGGAAUGCAGCUCUAAGUGGGUGGUAAAUUCCAUCUAAAGCUAAAUAUUGGCGAGAGACCGAUAGCGAACAAGUACAGUGAUGGAAAGAUGAAAAGAACUUUGAAAAGAGAGUGAAAAAGUACGUGAAAUUGUUGAAAGGGAAGGGCAUGAGAUCAGACUUGGUAUUCAGUGAUCAACUUUCUUUCGGGAUUGUGCACUCGCUGUUUACUGGGCCAAUAUCAGUUUUGGCGGUAGGAUAAUGGCAUUGGAAUGUGGCUCCUCGGAGUGUUAUAGCCUUUGUUGAUACUACCUGCUGGGACUGAGGACAGCGCUUUUGCUAGGAUAUUGGCGUAAUGAUCUUAUGCCAC
rnacentral:rRNA from 2 species